rnacentral:rRNA from 1 species
GAUGAACGCUGGCGGCGUGCCUAAUACAUGCAAGUCGAACGCUUCACUUCGGUGAAGAGUGGCGAACGGGUGAGUAAUACAUAAGUAACCUGGCAUCUACAGGGGGAUAACUGAUGGAAACGUCAGCUAAGACCGCAUAGGUGUAGAGAUCGCAUGAACUCUAUAUGAAAAGUGCUACGGGACUGGUAGAUGAUGGACUUAUGGCGCAUUAGCUUGUUGGUAGGGUAACGGCCUACCAAGGCGACGAUGCGUAGCCGACCUGAGAGGGUGACCGGCCACACUGGGACUGAGACACGGCCCAGACUCCUACGGGAGGCAGCAGUAGGGAAUUUUCGGCAAUGGGGGAAACCCUGACCGAGCAACGCCGCGUGAAGGAAGAAGUAAUUCGUUAUGUAAACUUCUGUCAUAGAGGAAGGACGGUGGAUAUAGGGAAUGAUAUCCAAGUGACGGUACUCUAUAAGAAAGCCACGGCUAACUACGUG